GUUCCAUGUGCAUGCUACGUUUUCCCCCUUAUUUAUUUUCAGUUUUUCGAUUUGGUACUCUUUUAUUUCUUGACCUCGUGCUUUUCCCAAAUUCGACUCAAAGGCAAACCAGACUAAUUCAAAUUCGGCCUCGAUAUUGUAUAUAUGUACAUGUAUAUAUGGUAUGCAUUUUAUAUUAUUCAAAUCAGAUGCAACUACAAUAAUGGACGCACAAGGUCUUCAUUUAGACUAUUAAUAAAGGCA
rnacentral:lncRNA from 1 species